rnacentral:lncRNA from 10 species
CGGCAUGCCACGCAGAUCAUUUCUAGAGCAGGGACCAUGAGUGCCUGCUCUGUGAACCCCUGGACCCCAGCUGCUGGGACAGAGGGAGUUGGGCACAGGGAUCAGCCUUGGUAACCGACUGCUUGCUUUGGGGUACAACACUACUGCUACAGCAACUCAAGAGAGGCUGUCCGCUGAGCCACUCAAGCAAAUCUGAGGCUCCAAAACAGCCAAACUGCAGAGGCCUCCAGACUCACAGAGAGAACGUAACAGGAUUACUGCUGUGGCUGGAAGAGGCCAAUUCUGCAGCACCCACCGGUUUGCAUGAAGUUUCAAAACAGCUGCAGACAUCCAAAGCACUGGGUAAGGAGGCCAUCCUGUAGACUGUGGCUCUGACAGUUACUCCAGGGUGACCUUUAGCAGGUCCCCUAACACCUAUGAGCCCUGAGGGGGGUGAAAUGGAAGCACCCCCCAACCAGUCCACGUUACCACAUAGACUGUAAAAUGCCGCCCACUAGUGAAUGGCCUCUUUUGAAACACUUUCUUGCUGUUCUCUUUGUAUAUGGAGUUGAACCUGCAGUGGAAAAUGUGAUUGACAGGGAUUAACAUCUAGGCCCCUUGGGGCCCACCUGGAUGAACCCUCAGUGGAAGCUGGGAUCAUGAACAAUGGAUAUGGAACCACUGUUCCUGCCCCUCUCUGGGCUACAUUUGUGACCUCUAAGGGCCCGCCCUUCCAUCCCUGACAAGCUUCAGAAUUACAACAAAUGACUUAAACAGCAAGGAAGAACAUCUGCUUUCCUGGGUGGCUUCAGGGUAGGGGUCCCCAGGAAGCCUAAGGCCUCCCUACCCUGGCCACCCUCACUCUAAGCCCAGGCUCCCUUUGACAAGUCUGGCCGGGUGAGAGCUUCUGCCUGCAGCAUCGGGCACAAAGUAGAAGCAGGGUAGCAGUGAGGAGAGGCGUCCCCCGAUGGAAGCACAGCUCCACAGCUCAGAAGGCGGAGGCGGGGGGGCGCCUAUGGUCAGCCCCCAACGACGGCGAGAGGUGAAUAUGAGUUCAGGGGACUUCAGAGAACUCCUCCCUCCUUAAUCUGGUUUGUCAAAGGCAACCCCCAAAGUCCCGGUCUCAAGGUGUCUCACUACCCUGAUCCCGACUGCCCACCGACCCUACCCAAACACGGACUCACUAACCUUGGCUUUUGACACUGCCCACAGACGGACCCCCACAGCCUGACUACCCACAUUUAUCCCUAAAGCCUGCCCCAGGCUGGCGAAACCCCAAAUCCGGCCACGCUCUGACCCCCGAUCUCAGCCACAAAGAGACUCCGUGACCUUGCCACUGACUGACCCCUAAGAGGAGAACUAAUCAGAGAACAAUUAAAUUGCUCGACUCUCAGCGAAGCACCUCAUGGAACAGAGGGGCGGAGGUGGGGAAGGACUUCGAGAGGGCAGAGGCUUCCCGGAGGAGCCCAGCGGGCCUGGGGCCACACUCGGAAGGCCGGGAAGGCCCUGUGCAGGGCACGUCGCAGGCGCUCGAGGAAUGCGAGUUGCCUGAAAGAACGAAGGAAG